UACGGAGGGUGCGAGCGUUAAUCGGAAUUACUGGGCGUAAAGCGCGCGUAGGCGGUUGCGUAAGUCGAUUGUGAAAGCCCCGGGCUUAACCUGGGAAUUGCAGUCGAUACUGCGCAGCUAGAGUGUGGUAGAGGGAAGUGGAAUUCCGGGUGUAGCGGUGAAAUGCGUAGAUAUCCGGAGGAACACCAGUGGCGAAGGCGGCUUCCUGGACCAACACUGACGCUGAGGUGCGAAAGCGUGGGGAGCAAACAGG
rnacentral:rRNA from 1 species